GACGAACGCUGGCGGCGUGCUUAACACAUGCAAGUCGAACGGAAAGGCCCUGCUUUUGUGGGGUGCUCGAGUGGCGAACGGGUGAGUAACGCGUGAGUAACCUGCCCUUGACUUUGGGAUAACUUCAGGAAACUGGGGCUAAUACCGGAUAGGAGCUCCUGCUGCAUGGUGGGGGUUGGAAAGUUUCGGCGGUUGGGGAUGGACUCGCGGCUUAUCAGCUUGUUGGUGGGGUAGUGGCUUACCAAGGCUUUGACGGGUAGCCGGCCUGAGAGGGUGACCGGCCACAUUGGGACUGAGAUACGGCCCAGACUCCUACGGGAGGCAGAAGUGGGGAAUAUUGCACAAUGGGCGGAAGCCUGAUGCAGCAACGCCGCGUGCGGGAUGACGGCCUUCGGGUUGUAAACCGCUUUCGCCUGUGACGAAGCGUGAGUGACGGUAAUGGGUAAAGAAGCACCGGCUAACUACGUG
rnacentral:rRNA from 1 species